GUGCCAGCAGCCGCGGUAAUACGGAGGGUGCAAGCGUUAAUCGGAUUUAUUGGGCGUAAAGGGGGCGUAGGCGGGAAGGAAAGUCAAUUCGUGAAAGCCCGGGGCUCAACCUCGGAACUGCGUUUGAAACUUCCUUUCUUGAGGGUAGGCGGAGAAAACAGAAUUCCACAAGUAGCGGUGAAAUGCGUAGAUAUGUGGAAGAAUACCGGUGGCGAAAGCGGUUUUCUAGCUUAUUCCUGACGCUGAGGCCCGAAAGCUAGGGGAGCAAACAGGAUUAGAUACCCUGGUAGUCC
rnacentral:rRNA from 1 species